AAGCCAAGCUCCCUACUUUUUAAGCCUGUGUGGGGAAACGUUGCACUCUUCGGGUUGGUACCUGAGCUGAGAUGGUUCUGCAGUCCUGGAAUUGCUUGCCAGCACCAAUUAAUUAAAGCCAUCUUCCCAGAAGAGCUCUGCCAUUAGCAUUUGCAGCAGUGCUUACUGCCCUGAAGGCAAAAGCAAAGCAGUGGUGCCAGUGGAUAUGGCUUUUCUAGAAAUCUCAUCACUUUUGUCUGAAGCUCAUGGAAGAGGUGGAUUUUAUAUUGUUUUCCUGAAGUUAGCCCUAAAAACCUCCUACGCUGCACUUUAGAUAGGAUGGUUAUUGAACGUUGCAGCUCCGGUCACAGCUGUACAACAUGCAUUUACACAUGGGAUUAUGAAGAUGCUCUAUAAUUUCAGACUUGAGGUUUACUUUGAGGGUCAUUUUUAGCUUUACAGAAGAUUCCUGGUGUACAAGAUUCUGGCACGUCCUUCACUCUUCCAGGACCUCUGGUUUCUUGUGCUCCUCAAACAUGUUCAGAAUUUCCUAAAUACUGGGUCAGCUCAGUGGGUUAGGAGCAGUGAUUGCUGCUUCUUGUGCCUGGUUAUCAAAACCUUUGAAACUGGGCAUGUUGGCAAGAAAAUAGGAAAGUAUUGAAUUACUCUUUGGAGAUUAUGAUCACACAUAGGAUGUAGAGAGUCCAGUCUCAAGAGGUACAUAAGGAAGCCUUUUAAAAACAGUUUUGGAAGGCUUUAAAGAAGAUGACUUGCAAUGUAAAUCAGCCUGGAGUCAUUGGACCCCCAAAGCAGUAAAUGACAGGGGAAGCACAGGCCUGAGGGGCUGCGUUAUCCCUGCAAACCUAAACCCUCAUCCCAAAAUACCUUUUACAGCCACCAAAGGAUCCCCUGGAGGAUGUACACUGGCUGCUUCUUUCAGAGCAAAUAUUAUAAAUAGAAUGGGAAUAAGUAAACACACCGUGUUGACAC
rnacentral:lncRNA from 7 species